rnacentral:rRNA from 1 species
GACGAACGCUGGCGGCGCGCUUAACACAUGCAAGUCGUGCGGUACCGAUGGCAAGUCUUCUUGACGAGCCUUCGGUAUAGCGGCGGACGGGUGAGUAACACGUGAGUAGCUGCCCUAGGGAGGGGGAUAACGCCUGGAAACGGGUGCUAAAACCCCAUAAGCCUCGAAAGAGGUAAAAGUGCAUCACUGCAGUCCUAGGGUGUGCUCGCGGCCUAUCAGCUAGUUGGUGAGGUAAGGGCUCACCAAGGCCAAGACGGGUAGCCGGCCUGAGAGGACGACCAGCCACACUGGAACUGAGACACGGUCCAGACUCCUACGGGAGGCAGCAGUGGGGAAUUUUGGACAAUGGGCGCAAGCCUGAUCCAGCAAUGCCGCGUGCAGGAUGAAGGCCUUCGGUUGUAACUGCUUUGUACGGAACGAACGGUGAGCUCUAAUAAAGCUUGCUAAUGACGGUACCGUAAGAAUAAGCACCGGCUAACUACGUGCCAGCAGCCGCGGUAAG